rnacentral:lncRNA from 1 species
GACUCUACUCUAGGCCUAGCAGAAUCUGGGCCUACGUGUGGCUUUCAAAACACUAUGUGAUCCCCUGCAAGGCUUUGCAGGCUCCUUAUCUAGAAGCCUGGCACAAUGUGGAAAGGAAGCCUUUCUUCUGUUUCUUUAUAGAUCUGCCUGUACACUGUAUAUCUGGGCUGCACAGCUUUGAUCAGCCUCAAGGCUACCCCAGGGCUGUUGCACCUCAGAUUCCUAAUCCACGUUCUCAGAUGGUUCUUGGUUUUGGGCCUGAAGAGUAUUCCAGAGGUAUGUUGUCAGUGCUGAUUUACCUGAAGGAAUAAACAGUUCCUUACUGAGAGGAGGAUACUAUCAACUGCUGUGGAGAGCUUCCGUAGAGGAUGUGUUUACUGCCAUUCAAAGCAGAAGAGGUGCAUUCAAACAUGCAACUGGAGCUGUUUUGAUGGUAGUGGUGGAGCUGGCCAAGUAGGAUUAGUAGUACCAUUGCAAGUAGGCUUGUGCUCAGGUGGACUGUAAGACAUCAUCCUCAUCCUCUGCUACCAUGAUACAAGUAUCAGGGAUGAUAAUGGUGUGAAUACUCCAAUCACCUGCACUUCUUCAAGACACUAUGAUGCCGUCAGUAGUGCAGAACUCAUGAGUGUGUUGCACUGUCUCCUGUUCUCCAGUUGCCGGUGGUGUGAGAACUACGAUGCGUGUGGAACAGAAACGGGGGGAAUAUAACUCUGCGUUUGCAGUGCUUGCCAUCCUGUUCUGUCUGGUCAUUCUGGCUGCUUUGGCUUUCCUGGCAAAACGUCUGCUGAUGAAGAGACAAGAAGAUGCAAUGCCAUUUGAAGCUGUCAGGAAAAAUGAAGACCCAGAUCCAGCAAAUGAAGGGCAAACCAUCGUGAGAUUUAUGAUAGAAAUUGAAGAUCUUUCUGGGGAUUCAAUGUCAAAUCUGAAGGGUCUCCACUCUGCUAUCUCACAAAUCAAUGACAUAUUCAGUCAGUCCCCACAGCGAUCCGCAAAGCAGUCAGGAAUCGCUGAAAGAAGCAAAAAGGCACAAAAGUCACGAAAAGAGGAGAAAAAUACAUCCUGA